CGACCGACAACGGGUGGAGCCUGCGGUUUAAUUGGACUCAACGCCGGGCAGCUCACCGGAUAAGACAGCUGGAUGAUAGCCGGGCUGAAGACUCUGCUUGACUAGCUGAGAGGAGGUGCAUGGCCGUCGUCAGUUCGUACUGUGAAGCAUCCUGUUAAGUCAGGCAACGAGCGAGGCCCACGCCAACAGUUGCCAGCAUGUCCUCCGGGAUGAUGGGGACACUGUUGGGACCGCCUCUGCUAAAGAGGAGGAAGGAAUGGGCAACGGUAGGUCAGCAUGCCCCGAAUUAUCCGGGCUACACGCGGGCUACAAUGGUCAGGACAAUGGGUAUCGACACCGAGAGGUGGAGGCAAUCUCCUAAACCUGUCCUUAGUUCGGAUUGUGGGCUGCAACUCGCCCUCAUGAAGCUGGAAUCCGUAGUAAUCGCGUUUCAACAGAACGCGGUGAAUACGUCCCUGCUCCUU
rnacentral:rRNA from 1 species